GUACUGAACUAUUAGGUAUGCUGGGAAUUGCAGCCCUCUCCCAGCUGGGUCCCAUACGUGUGGGCUUUUGCCUCAGAUUUCCUGAUCUGUAUCUCAAAUCCUUGAUGAGCUUAAAACCUUCUGUAUUAGUCAGGACUUAGUUGCAGGUGUCAGAAACUCAAAUAGAUUUAAGCACACAAGGAACUGGGUCGGUUUUCUUUGCUGAAAAGUCCAGGGGUUGUGCUGAAUUAAAGAAGGACUGAAACUAGAUGCCCUAAUGAUCAGUUCAGGAUUUUCCUUCUUUUUCUCUUUCUACUCUAUGCUCCUUUUUAUUUGUUGCAUUCUCAGGCAGGUGCUUCCCCUAGUGAGGAAAGAUGGUCACCAGCAGCUCCUGGUUGGUACUUCUCUUCCUAGUUUUAGGAGCAGAUUCCUGCCCUAGUUUGAAGAGAAGCCCUUGUACUGACUCUUAUUUGUACUAACUCUGGUCAUGUGCCCACCCUGAACCAAUCACCAGGACCAUUCCCUCCUGUGUUUUUCCAUUGGCAGAACUCCAUUCCCAAGUCAUGAUGAAGGUAGUGGUGGCAGCCGUCUUUGAACCACUUGGACUGGGAGAGUUGAAGGUGGAGGAGAGGAGCCACCAGUGUCUGCCCCAGCUCUUCUGGGUUGCCACAGAGUGUACAAUCCAGAAGGUCAAGGAAUAGCCAGUACAUCAGUCAGGAAGUAGACACCUCAAAUUAUGAUGUGUUGAGAAGUUAAUGAGGGCACUCUUCAUGGCGGGAUGUUGGGUUAUUGGAGAUGGAAGCAUUUAUUCAACAUGGAGGAAAAGAGGCUAGCAUCCUUUCCUGGUAUUCUGUCAGCAUAGACCACUGGCUAUCCCAGACUGAAGAAAGACUGUUGGUGGGAGAAGAGAGUGUGUCCUCAGGUGACCCCUGCUGCAGCCGUCUUGUGACCAUAAGGAGAGAAACGAGCUACGUCCUGAGGUUGCAAAGCACAAGAUCGGCCAGCAUUUGAGCCUUUAAUGACAUCUUCCUGCCCCUGGAUUAACUAAAUGUAGAAUUUCCCCUCAUUUCUGGACCUCUAGCUAUGUAGGUUAAUAAACUUCUAUUGUUUAAUGUACUUAAAAUCCAGGUUUCUGGUACUUACAGCUAAAAAUAUUUUAACUGAUUCACUGCCUAUAUGUUCUUGGGCAAGUGACUUAUUCUUGCUGAACUUUAGUUUCUUUAUUUGUAAAAAGAGAUAUUAGCCUUUCUUCAC
ensembl:lncRNA